rnacentral:rRNA from 1 species
AUGGCCACACCCACCGAUGAACCCACCAUCACCAUGGAGACCUGCGGCGACGUCUCCGACGACCCCACCAUGGAGACCAUCGGUGUCCUCUCCGAUGUUCCCAUUGUGAGCAAAAGCCUCCCCACAGGCGCCAUCUCCGCCAAUUUCAAGGUCACUCGUGGCUUCGGUGGAAUCGCGGAGAACGCCAAGGUGAACAUCGACAGGCUGUAUCUGCGCCAGAUCAUGACGGGCUGGGAGGCGAAUCAGUCGGAUGUGAUAAAGCCCAAUACUGUGACUGGGCUAGGUAAAACUGUUGUGAACAACUGGGGGAUCUAUGACGGCCCUGGCUCCAAGGCGAAACUGGUAGCCAAAACGCAUGGCAUGCACACAUUUGCCGGCAAAUGGAGCAAUUGGUUCACCCUGGUGUUUGUGGUCGAAAGGUUCGAAGCGUCCACUCUUCAGGUUAUGGGAGCUAAUGAUGAGGAUGAAGCAGAUAAUGAGUGGGCCAUUGUAGGUGGGACCGGUGAAUUCACAAUGGCUCGCGGUAUCAUCCAGAGAAGAGUAUAUAGUGUAACAGACAGUACAUUAACACAUGCGCUUACUAUUGAAUUCUUCUGCCGCAUGAAGGAGGUCGUCCCUUCACCUACAAAGAGAGGAACAGUUGGUGGAAAUAGAGGCACCCUGCCUUGGGAAAUGGAAGGCAAAUCCCAACGUCUAGAAAAUGUGACAAUCUACCAUGUAGGUGCAGUUGAAGGGUUUCAAUUUUCCUAA